ACAGUCAUAAAUUUAAAAUAUCAAAUUCCCUAACGUAGGCAACUUUCCACACACCACAAACGUCAUAGUCUGGUGAUUUUAAAGGUUAGUUGGUAUUAAUACAGAUUAUCCCCAGAAGAAAUACGAAAUUUAUGGUUAGAAAAGUUAAAAUAAUUGCCGUGAGUAAGCACAAUAAGAAAGGAAUUACGCGAAGUGAAGUCAUGCUCGCAACGCAAACGACCGGACCAGUGAGCAGCAAGGGUACGAGGUAAUUCUACACGUCGAAAUAUAUUACGUUCGUGGAACCAGCAGGGAUGUAGUCGUGUACAGCGGCGGCCAUAAAUGUUUUCCUGCCGUUAUUAUUCCGCCGUCAAAGUUUAUUACUGUAUUUUCACUGGGAUAAACAAGUAAUUGGAUGGAAAUUAACAAAAAAAGAAGAAAACAUCGAAUUAUAACCUCAAAUAAAUAUUAGGAUGUCAAAAGUCAUCGUGGCUGUCAUUUUUUAAGUCAGAUAAAGUAGAAAUCUGUAAAAAGUUAUGUUUUAUCUCUACGUUUUUUGCUCCUAAAAGUAUCUAUAAUAGUAAAAAUCGGAAAAUUCAAUUUCCCAAGCGAAGUUUAUGACCCACUGUAAUGAUAGUAAUCUGUUGGAGAAAAGAUUUUAUAAAGUCAUGUCAUUUUUCAUUGGUGGCAGCCAUUCUAACCUCACAAAACCGACGCAGACGACAAACACAGCACCAAAGUGGGUGAGUAAAGUGGAUGAUCCAAUAAUAUUUCGUUAUUCUUCCACAUCCCGCACGAAAAUAUUUGUUUUCCGAAAAUGUUUAACAUUGAAAUAUUUGCGUUCCGUGAAAUUGUGUUUGAAGGGAAAACUCUUCGCCCACACACGCACCGUAUUUGUUUAUUCAGUGAAUAAUUAAUUACACGUGGGUCGUCGUUUCGACGUGAAAAACAUGCAUAAAAACGAUUUUUCCAUUAGCGCGUUAAUAUUUCAUCAUCAUUAGGCAGCUUCUUUCACGGCGCGGUGGAAAUCUGCGUGCAUUUUUUAAAUGCCAUGAAAAGGGUUGACCGCCAAGGUUGCGGUGUGGGUUUUGGAAAGAGUGACGCUGUUGAAAUAUGGCGCUCGGUCAUUUGGAAACAAGCUUUUCGUUUUCAUCACGUCGGGUUUUUCGCUUUUCUCUAGCGUUUAGUGUUACAUGGUUUCCUCAUCACGGCGUUACGUGAUCAUGUAUGAGGGGAGAAAAUUGUGAAAAGGGCUCUUUUUGAGGAGUAUAAGGCAAGCAUUUCUCAAGAUUCAUACUUAACCUUAUUAUAGUUAUUAACAGCUGCGAUAGAGUUUUAGUAAAAUGUUAAAAUGUCAAGAAAAAUGUAGAAAAAGAUGAAAA